UCUUUUUGGUUAAUGCGAACAGAGUAUUCUUCAACAGAUUUUGCAAUUUCUUCAUUUUUUGUAAAAUGGUAUCAGAGCAUUCUCCUCUGCUACUACUAUUUUCUUUUUCUUUUUUUUCUAAACCUUCCUGAUGGCUCCUAGAGGACAAAACAAUAAUCAGGUUGUUAUGAGCUCCACCUCUUCUCCAAUGGAAGAUCUCUCCGGUCCAUUUUUUUUCUCCAUAAUGGAGACCAUCCAGGGCUUAUUCUGGUUUCCCAUCCUCUUCAUGGCCCUAAUUACAACACAUGGAGUCGAGCGAUGUUGAUGGCUCUCACAGCAAAAAACAAAACGAGCUUCAUUAACAGUAGUAUUCCUCAACCUGCAAUUGAUUAUUUGCUCUAUGGAGCUUGGAAUCGAUGCAAUAACAUGGUUGAUUCAUGGAUCUUGAACUCGGUGGCUUGGGAGAUAGCUGAUAGUCUUCUCUACAUCUCUACUACUACAGAGAUCUGGAACGACCUGAGAGAACGUUUUCAUCAAACCAAUGCUCCAAGGAUUUUCAAAGUUAGAAAGGCUCUUAUGGCUUUGAAUCAGGGUGCGUUUGACGUCAACACUUAUUACACUAGGCACAAGAUUUUGUGGGAUGAACUGAAGGAAUUUCAACCUAUUCUCAUAUGUCAUUGUGGAAUGAUGAAAGCUUGGAUGGAGUAUCAACAAAAGGAAUGUGUUAUUUAGUUUUUAAUGGGUCUCAAUGACUCGUAUGCUUCCACACGGGGUCAGAUUUUGAUGAUGGACCCUUUGCCUCCAACCACCGAAGUUUUUACCCUGGUUGUUCAAGAAGAAAGACAACGUGCAGUCAAUCAAGGACCACUCACAAGAGAGGAGGAUUGAGAUGGGUAACUGUGUUGGCAAUCUCUACAUUUUGAAUCUAAACAACUUGCUCUCAACUUCUUCUUGUUUCUCUAGUGUUUGUAAUAAUAUCACAUUGACUCAAAAGGAAUUAUGACACUUUCGUUUGGGUCAUCCAUCUGAUGUAAAACUUCAAAUUUUGAAGAAUGAAUUAAAAUUUUCACAAAUUUUUGUUGAUUCUUUGCCUUGCAAAACAAAAGUGUUUACCAUUUGUUUCAUCAAAUUCUGUCUGGUCAACCUUUUAAAUCUUGUGUAUUGUGAUAUAUGGGGUCCUUUUAUCCCACAAACUGUAGAAGGGCAUGUUAUUUUUUUACCAUUGUGGAUGAUGGCAUUCGUUUUACUUGGAUCUAUUUGUUGAAACAAAAAUCCGAUGUUUUGAACAUUUUUCCUGAUUUUUACACUCUCAUAAACACACAAUUUGGUGCUAAAAUUAAAUCUGUGAGAACUGAUAAUGCCCUUGAAUUAGCCUUUAUAGAUUUUUUUCGUUCCAAAGGCAUUCAUUUUUUUCAUUCUUGUGUGGACACACCACAACAAAACUCUGUGGUAGAAUGCAAACACCAGCAUUUGUUAAAUGUUGCUAGAGCCUUGCAUUUUCAAUCAAAUGUGCCUUUAGGAUAUUGGAGGGAUUGUGUCUUAACUUUUGCAUAGCCAAUUAAUCGAUUAUCAUCUCUAAUUCUUUCUAACAAAACUCUUUUUGAACUCCUGUGGAAUAAGAAACCAUCAUAUAGUCACUUGAAAGGCUUUGGUUGCUUGUAUUAUGUCUCUACCCUUAAGCAUCAUCGAAUAAAAUUUUCUCCAAGAGCUUUGCUUGCUGUUUUUCUUGAGUAUCCACCUAGGCAUAAGAGAUACAAACUGUUAAACCUUAGUACCAAUACCGUUUUCAUAUAAUGAGAUGUUGUAUUUCAUGAGACUGUUUUUCCCUUCACAUCUAUUCCACAAGCUGCCGAAUCUUCUAAUUAUUUUCUGACCGAGUGUUGCCAUGUCGUAUACUAAAUGUCACUCCUCGUUACAAUUCAGUUGAUCAAGUGUUGAUUCCACCACUACUAUUACUAUUCCAUCUUCACAAAAUCUUGGAUCUUCUCGUCCCUCUCGAGUCAUUAAACCUUCUUCCUAUUUGAAGGGUUUCCAUUGCUACUUAGUGUUCCAUAAUAAUGUUCCCACAACUCAGCCAUUUUCCCAUGUUCUUAGCUAUGAUCGUCUUUCCUCUAACCACAAAGCCUUUGUUUGUGCCAUUUCUUCUCAUUUUGAACCAACCAUUUAUUCACAAGCUACUAAGGUUCCUGAAUGGAAUGAAACUAUAAUGGCAGAGCUGAAAGCUCUUGAAAGUAAUGGGACAUGAACAUUGGAUUAGUAUGUUAGCCAUAUGUCAAUGGAAAGCUUAUUAUCUUAGCUAUAAUAUGCAUUUUGAAUCAUUGGAUUUGGAGCGAAUUGGCCAGCUGGUUCAGAUGGGGAUAUUCAACGCGUUUUGAAGACAAAUUGGCAUCUAAUUUCAAUCUUUCCUUUCUAGGUUACCCAAUUUUUUUACUUUUAUGCAUUUUUUGUCUGGUUUCCAAAGUGAGGUGCUUUAUUGUCUCAUGGCAUGACCCUAUAUAAGGCCAUAACUUUGAAGGCUUCAGCAAUUUAUUGUGAUUUUACCAAUAGAAUUCCAGAUUUUGGUUUUCUUCUUAAACUUUGUAUCUCUUUGAGUUAAUUCCUGGAAUUAGUGAUUUGAGUGGUGAGUGUUCUCAACUCUAUAUCCCUUAUUGUUUUCCUUA